UUAUAUUACCCAUAAACAUGAACAGUCUUAACUGCUGUAGGUAUGGUAUUCAAUGUUAAAUCCUAACCACCGAGCAAAACAUGUCGCUGCCUCCUCUUCUCUAAGGUUAACUUACUUAUAUUUCUCAAUUGUUUCAGUUUCCUUAAAAGCUUUUUGGAUGUCCAUUUCUUUGAGACGUACAUGUUUAAUGAUGAAAGAACAUCUGUUAUGUAAAACUUUCUCCAGAAUAUAAUAUAUUUAAAAACCCAACUAUCCAUUAACUCAACAAAUAGUUGUGACAUUAUGUACAAAAUUGUUGUUAUAAUAAGUCAUAUUACAUUUCCAAAUGCACUUGUCUGAAUGUGACGGUUCAUCAUGGUUGGAUCCUUGUUUGGUGCUGAAAACCCGGCUCAAUUUUAGUUUAGUAGUAGGAUUGAGAGUCAUUUAGCCUCCAUUUGGCAAGCUUUAUAAAUUAAUUUGUAAAUGGUCAAAUUUUAUUUUUAACCACACAUUUUAAUGGAUAACCACUCUAUCUAUUUAUAUACUCCCUCCAUCUCAUUUAUAUAGGUUGACUUUUUUAUUUUAACAUAAAAAAACGUCUAGUUUGUUCAAAUGACAGAGGGAGUGCCAGUAAAAUUCAAGGUACCGACCUUUUUUUUUUUUUUCAACAUAAGAGAACCUCUUAUUUUUUCAAGAGGCAGGGGAUAGCUGGUAAAGUUCAAGGUACCGACCCUCCAAAUAAACCAUAAUAAAACUCCCAAGAAAAAAGGGGAAAAACAAAUUUUAUUUUAUUUUAUUUUUUUAAACAAUUCUAAAAAAUUAAAACACGAAAUAGAAGGAGAAUUAUGAUUUACUUCUCUUCAUUUAGAGGAAUACUUUCAUGUUGAAUGCGUUAUUGCAAAUUUUUUAUAAGAUUAUUGAGCUCCUCCUCGGAUGAACAUAUAGCAGAACCUAGUUAGGGAAGAUGCAUGAAAUUCCAUGCCAUCAAGCCAAUAUUCAAUAAAUCCCAUGUCAUUCCCAAAUUGCAUGUUCUUAAAUUGUUUAUUUAUAAAGAAUUCUUCCAUCAACACUUCUUUGACUUCUAUGCAUAAAUUUUUUCAGCAGCUUCUUAAUUCCCCCAACUUGCUUCCAAUCUGUCGGAUUGUUUUGGAGGUUUGAAAAAAAAUAUUCUUUUCUAGAAAAAUGUUGGUCGGGAGCAAGAAAAUAAAAAUAUGACCGGACGAGCGGCCCAAGGCCACACACUGGAAGCGAAAUUCAAAAGUUGAUUUGUUUAGGAUCGAACCCGCUCUGAUACCAUGUUAAGAAAAAUAAAAGUGAUAUUAUAAUGUAAGCUCUUAUUUAUUACAAUGUAGAAGAUCCUAUUUAUAGGGUUACAAAUAACACUAAAAGGAAAUAAACAUAAAAUGAAAGAUUGUGUAUUAAUUACACAAUCAACUAAUAAAGAAAAUAAUCCUACACUAAAAGGAAAAAUAUUAUGGAAAAUAUUCUUGACAAUAUUUCUAUCUUUAACACUUAACAUGCAUAAUAUUAUGGACACUCAGUUAGCUUCAAGCACAUGUGGUGAGGAAGUGAAUCAAUUUUAAUGAAACAUGUUUAUGUGCACCUCGAUUUGCUAUUCUGUUAUUCCAUCUAAUCUUGCAGUUGUUAAUUUUCUUGGUCAUUCUCUAGUUCUUCAAAAUGUUGUUAUAUGCUGUACUUUUUAUAACAACUUUCAAGAAUAUAAUAUAUUAUUAUAUGGUGUUCCUGUAUUUUUUUUCUAACAAACCAGUACCUUUAUUUAUAUUACCCAUAAACAUGAACAGUCUUAACUGCUGUAGGUAUGGUAUUCAAUGUUAAAUCCUAACCACCGAGCAAAACAUGUCGCUGCCUCCUCUUCUCUAAGGUUAACUUACUUAUAUUUCUCAAUUGUUUCAGUUUCCUUAAAAGCUUUUUGGAUGUCCAUUUCUUUGAGACGUACAUGUUUAAUGAUGAAAGAACAUCUGUUAUGUAAAACUUUCUCCAGAAUAUAAUAUAUUUAAAAACCCAACUAUCCAUUAACUCAACAAAUAGUUGUGACAUUAUGUACAAAAUUGUUGUUAUAAUAAGUCAUAUUACAUUUCCAAAUGCACUUGUCUGAAUGUGACGGUUCAUCAUGGUUGGAUCCUUGUUUGGUGCUGAAAACCCGGCUCAAUUUUAGUUUAGUAGUAGGAUUGAGAGUCAUUUAGCCUCCAUUUGGCAAGCUUUAUAAAUUAAUUUGUAAAUGGUCAAAUUUUAUUUUUAACCACACAUUUUAAUGGAUAACCACUCUAUCUAUUUAUAUACUCCCUCCAUCUCAUUUAUAUAGGUUGACUUUUUUAUUUUUUUGUUCCAAUUAUAUAGUUAUUUUUUUUAUUGAGAAUGUUUUGUUUAGUUUGUCUACUAAUAUGCUCUUAUUCAAUUUGCUUAGUUAUAACCAAUUUUUUUUACCUAAUCUUGAAAUUGUACAAAUAAAGGUAAAAAUUGCCUUUUUAAUAACAUUCAAUAAGAUUUCUUAAUUCGUGGGAAAAACAAUACCAACCUAUAUAAAUGCUAUAGGAGUGUCAAAUUGUGUAUAAAUUCUUUCCAAACGGCCUAUUUGUUCUAUAAGCUCUAACUUGAGAGGUCCUCAUUACCACUGAAUAAGCAAUGCAACAAUGACACGAGUAACUAGUAUUUCCAAUACUCUUAAGUGAUUGUUAACAAAAAAAAUUCACAGAAUGAAAAUAUUAUCAUUCAAUGAGAUAAUUUUGGUGCAUGCACGUAAUUUGAUUUUUAUCUUUGGAACAUGCACGGCAAAAUAACUAAAUGAGCAACACACAGGUCUUGGCCACACACAGACCAGCCAAAAGUUGCAACAAGACUUAACUGAAUUUUCGUCGUUAUACACCUGGAACAGACGUUCAAUAUUCCUGGAAUGGACACUCAGUUAGCUUCAAGCACAUGUGGUAAGGAAGUGAAUCAAUUUUAAUGAAACUAUGUUUAUGUGCACCUCGAUUUGCUAUUUUGUUAUUCCAUCUAAUCUUGCAGUUGUUAAUUUUCUUGGUCAUUCUCUAGUUCUUCAAAAUGUUAUAUGCUGUACUUUUUAUAACAACUUUCAAGAAUAUAAUAUAUUAUUAUAUGGUGCUCCUGUAUUUUUUUUAUUACAAACCAGUACCUUUAUUUUAUAUUACCCAUAAACAUGAACAAUCUCAAUUGCUGUAGGUAUGGUAUUCAAUGUCAAAUCCUAACUACCAAGCAAAACAUGUCGCUGGCACCUCUUCUCUAAUGUUAAUUUACUUAAAUUUCUCAAUUGUUUCUGGUUCCUUAAAAGCUUUUUGGAUGCCCACUUCUUUGAGACGUACACCUUUAACGAUGAAAGAACAUCUGUUAUGUAAAACUUUUUCCAGUAUAUAAUAUUUUUAAAAAC
rnacentral:lncRNA from 1 species